rnacentral:rRNA from 1 species
GAGUUUGAUCCUGGCUCAGAACGAACGCUGGCGGCGUGCUUAACACAUGCAAGUCGAACGUGAUCCAGAGCUUGCUCUGGUGAAAGUGGCGCACGGGUGAGUAACGCGUGGAUAACCUGCCCUGGUAUCUGGGAUAACAUCUCGAAAGGGGUGCUAAUACCGGAUAAGCCUACGGACUCCUCGGAGUCUGCAGGAAAAGGAGGCCUCUAUUUAUAAGCUUCCGUAUCAUGAUGGGUCCGCGUACCAUUAGCUAGUUGGUGGGGUAAUGGCCUACCAAGGCGACGAUGGUUAGCUGGUCUGAGAGGAUGAUCAGCCACACUGGAACUGAGACACGGUCCAGACUCCUACGGGAGGCAGCAGUGGGGAAUUUUGCGCAAUGGGGGAAACCCUGACGCAGCAACGCCGCGUGAGUGAUGAAGGCUUUCGGGUCGUAAAGCUCUGUCAGAGGGGAAGAAAUGAAACGUGCUAAUAUCACGUUUUCUUGACGGUACCCUCAAAGGAAGCACCGGCUAACUCCGUGCCAGCAGCCGCGGUAAUACAAGGGCGAMYYS